GACGAACGCUGGCGGCGUGCUUAACACAUGCAAGUCGAACGGAAAGGCCUGGCCUUUCUUGUGUUGGACGGGUACUCGCGUGGGGAACGGGCGAGUAACACGUGAGUGAUCUGCCCCCAACUUGGGUAGAAGCCUGGGAUACUAGGGCUAAUUCCCGAUUGGACUGCAGGGUGGUGCCUGUAGUGGCAAACGUUUUUCUAGUGGUUGGGGAUGGGCGGGCGGCGUAUCAGGUUGUUGGUGGGGUAAUGGCCUACCAAGACGGGGACGGGUAGCCGGCGGGGGAUAGUCGACGGGCGAAGUGGGACUGAGAUACGGCCCCGACGCGUACGGGAGGCAGCAGUGGGGAAGAAUGCACGGUGGGCGGAAGCCAGAUGCCGCGAGGCAGCGUGGGGGAUGACGGGCUUGGGGUGGUAAGCUCCUGGCGACCAAGAGGAAGCCGCCUGGUUGGAAGGGUGGUGACGGUAGUGGUAGAAGAAGCACCGGCUAACUACGUG
rnacentral:rRNA from 1 species